AAAAACGACCGGCCGAGUCGCCACAGUUCCGAAAUUCCGGGCGUGGCGUACGGGGGAACCAAAUGUGUGGGGUGAAAUGACCCGGUGGUCAUCGGGCGACCUUUCGACCGAACCCGGCAGCUAACCCCGGAGGCCGCCGAAAGGAGAGAG
rfam:Kyrpidia tusciae DSM 2912, complete genome.